ensembl:lncRNA
CUGGAUUGUCAAUUUCUCAUUUGUUCUUCUGCAUACACUUAGCACAGAGACAAAUAAUGUUACUAAUUACCUAAAGCUCACAUUCUUCAACCAUAAACCGCCACUAGCUGUUAUGAUAUAAACUCCAGCAUUUGGAAAACAUCCACAUGACAGCCUAGAAUUGAAGAGAAAAAUGUUAAUCUUUAAACAUGGAGCACGAGAUGAAAUAUAAGAGCUCAUCAGUCAUGUGAGGACUGUACUUUACUCCUCUCACAGAGAAAACUACGGGCUUCAACGCAUUCUACACCAUGGAGUUGAGUUUCAAUUCUCUGUUGGCUUUGAUUCUCUUCUGGGAUUCUCUGUGUGUCCAAUCUGAGACCGCAGCACACAGAAACUCUGGAGAGUCGCUGCAGACUGUGAUGAACUCUCAAAUAAACCGUCUGCAGGUCAGAGCUGAAAACUCUGUUCACAUUCAUCCAGGACAAAAGCUGACGCUUCGGUGCCAAGGUGAAGGAGAUGAAGUGCUGGUGCAGUUCUGGCAGACACCUUUCGGUCAGUUUGACAGCUGUAACCACCAAAACAAAGACCCAGUGUACACAUGCAAUGGCACUUUGAAGAUUUCAAGAGCCACAUCCAGCCAUGAUGGACUCUAUUACUGUGUCCAUCUGGACAAGAUGAGCAAAACAAUCGUGCCUUAUAGAGUUAAUGUAGUUUCUCGGCAGAGGAAGACCAGGGAGGCAGGGGUUUACAGCGACACGGUGUCAGAAAGUCAUUUCGCGGCGGCUGUGGCAUCAUCAGUAAUCGUGAGUUUUUCAGUGGCCUUCACACUCGGUGCAUUCAGCAGAUCCUACGUGAUGAAGUGCCUACGAACGAUAAGGGCCCGCAUGCCUCAUAGAAAAGACCAUCACAAUCACAUCAACGGACAAACCACCAGAGCACAAACUGACACAGUGUUCUUCCAUAAAAACCAAACCGCUGGAGGAGACGCUGUGGACACUGGUUUGGCUGAUCGGGAACGCAUGGAUGUCGAUGACGCGGACGCUAUCAGAAAUGAUAUAAACGAGUCAAGUGAGCCUCAGAGUUGUGAAGGAGGAGAACAAACCCCACGGUUGAGAUCAGCAGCUAGCCCACAUCCAAAGAAGAAGAUCCGCGUCAUUAAAGUCUACAACUUUGAUGAAGAAGGGUCUCCAUACAGCCAUAUCAAAGACUCAGGGACGGAGGGUGGAGACGAGGUCAGGCCCAAACUGAGGACGAAGUCACUGACGCGACUCAAUGCCAUCAUGAAACAGGCUGAAGCUCUUAACAUCAACCCAGACAGAGAGCAGACUGAUGUCCAGACGAUUCAAGAGUACGCUCCUUCACAUGAAGACAGUGUUUCAGCUUCAGCAGGAGACACCGGAGACUCACAAACAGGCCGAGGGACACAUUUAUGACACAAUGGAAGACAUCACUGAAGACACCUUUGACAAAUUUGUAGUUAGGCCAGGCUGAUCUGUCAUUCAGCUUUUUAUUUUUUACUCACUAGUCUUAAUCAAGUGUACAUUUAAAUUCAGCUAUUUCCAUUGAUGUAUGGUUUGUUAUGAUCGGACAAUAUUUGUCUGAGAUACAACUAUUUGAAAAUCUGGAAUCUGAGGGAGCAAAAAAAUCUAAAUAUUGAGAAAAUCAUCUUUAAAGUUGUUCAAAUUAAGUUCUUAGCAAUGCAUAUUACUAAUCAAAAAUUAAGUUUUGAUAUAUUUACGGUAGGAAAUUUACUAAAUAUCUUCAUGGAACAUGAUCUUUACUUAAUAUACUAAUGAUUUUUGGCAUAAAAGAAAAAUGGAUAAUUUUGACCCAUAUAAUGUAUUUUUGGCUAUUGCUACAAAUAUUUCCCAGCGACUCAAGACUGCUUUUAUGCUCCAGGGACAGAUAUAUAUUUUUACAAGCAUCAAAUUGUAUGUUAAACGUGCUUCAUGUAUAGUCAACAUCACCUUUUCCUUCAAAAGUAGUAACUGUGAUGCAUAUAUUUGGAACAUAUACAUAAAAAGUUUGAGUUCAGUAAGACUUUUUUUUUUCCAGAAGUGCCAGUAAAAACAUUUACAACAUUACAGAUGAUUUCUAUUUUCAAAGAAAUGCUGUUUUUUUGAACUUUCUAUUUGUCUGUGAAUCCUGAAAAAUUAAAUAUAUCAGAUUUUCCAGAAAAAUAUUUGAUUGAUAAUAAUCAGAAAUGUUUCUUUAGCAACAAAUCAUCAUAUUAGAAUGAUUUCUGAAGAUCAUGUGACACUGAAGACUGGAGUAAUGAUGCUGAAAAUACAGCUGCACAUCACAGAAAUAAAUUACAGUUUAACAGA